rnacentral:rRNA from 1 species
AUUGAACGCUGGCGGCAUGCCUUACACAUGCAAGUCGAACGGUAACAGGUUAAGCUGACGAGUGGCGAACGGGUGAGUAAUGUAUCGGAACGUGCCCAGUCGUGGGGGAUAACUGCUCGAAAGAGCAGCUAAUACCGCAUACGACCUGAGGGUGAAAGCGGGGGAUCGCAAGACCUCGCGCGAUUGGAGCGGCCGAUAUCAGAUUAGGUAGUUGGUGAGGUAAAGGCUCACCAAGCCGACGAUCUGUAGCUGGUCUGAGAGGACGACCAGCCACACUGGGACUGAGACACGGCCCAGAUUCCUACGGGAGGCAGCAGUGGGGAAUUUUGGACAAUGGGCGCAAGCCUGAUCCAGCCAUGCCGCGUGCGGGAAGAAGGCCUUCGGGUUGUAAACCGCUUUUGUCAGGGAAGAAAAGGUUCUGGCUAAUACCUGGGACUCAUGACGGUACCUGAAGAAUAAGCACCGGCUAACUACGUG